rfam:Camelus ferus unplaced genomic scaffold scaffold803, whole genome shotgun sequence.
GGAGGGUUGAGCUCAGUGGCAGAACGUGUGCUUAGCACGCAUGAGGUCCUGGGUUCAAUCCCCAGUCCCUCCA